GCCCAUUUGGUCUAUACGGGAGUUUGUCUACCAUCAUAUUGUAAUGAUAAUGCGUUUGCAGACAAUAUAAUUAAUUAUUGAAUAACAGAAAAGGAUAAAAAGGUUUAUUUAAAAGAAAAAAUAGUGGAAUGCCACACACACUUCAAUAGUAAUAGAGUCGUGAUUGGAUCUCAGUCGGAUGUGAAUCGUAUGUCGCUUAAUUCAAAUUAGUAGAAUAGCGCCCCAGACUAGAUGAGGAAAUUAUUUUGAAAAUUAGUGAACUAAUUACCAUCGUCUCAAUGCUAGUUUGUCAAAUCUUUAAUUCAGUUUAGACGUGUUUGUACAAAAUGAAGCUUUUCAACUUGACAAUUUUGUUUUUGAUACUAUGUAUUUUCUACGUGGAAGUGAAACCUACCUUCUUGCCAAAAUCUCGGCUUCACGCUAUUUAUUCUAAAGCCCAGAAUCAGACAAAAGUGAAAAAAUCUCAGAAACAUAGUAGAGGAUGAAAUUAAUAAAUUAAAAUCAAACAUA